rnacentral:tRNA from 1 species
GCCCGGAUAGCUCAGUCGGUAGAGCAGGGGAUUGAAAAUCCCCGUGUCCUUGGUUCGAUUCGGAGUCCGGGCA